UUUCAGAUUGGACAUGGGAAGAACCCAAAACCACAGCUACCUGAUGGUGCCAGAAGAGUACAAUCCUCUUUCACCUUUUCUUGUGCUGUUAAUGGAGUGCAAUAAAAAAUCUGGAGGAGAUCAAACUCUGGCUCAUUUGGCACAGAAAGCCAAGCAACCAUGCAGGACUGGAAACUUCUAGCUGGUUUUCAUUUGAUUGGAAAGUACUUCUGCAAGGCUUUAUGGAAAAGUUAGCUGGAUGUUUUGUCCUGCUCCUUCCCAGGCAGAAAAGCAGUCAUGACUGAGCAGAUGGAGUGGAUUUUGAUGGCACCAUACAGAAUCUGAGGAGGUCCAGGACUGUUCCUUCCACGCUGACACAUCCAUGGAGCUGGGAGAUGCAGACCCCUGUGGGGUGUUGUGUGGAGAAAGAGUGGGGCAGGGCUAAGGACAAUCAUGGAUGGAAUGGAAAGAGUGAUCACCUAUGAGAGGAAACAGGUUUGGUCUCUCCUGCUGCAGGUGCAUCAGCUCCUGGGAAAUUCUUGCCAAUCCAUGCAGCUGAUGCAGGAACUCCAAGCUUUCUGUGUGGUGGUGUCCCAAGGAGCAGAAGACAAGCUAAUUUGGGUGAGGCAUAUAUGCUGUGUUUCUGACAUGGCUCAUAGACUAGAAAUUGUUGU